rnacentral:rRNA from 1 species
UACGUAGGGUGCGAGCGUUGUCCGGAAUUAUUGGGCGUAAAGAGCUCGUAGGCGGCUUGUCGCGUCGGAUGUGAAAGCCCGGGGCUUAACUCCGGGUCUGCAUUCGAUACGGGCAGGCUAGAGUUCGGUAGGGGAGAUCGGAAUUCCUGGUGUAGCGGUGAAAUGCGCAGAUAUCAGGAAGAACACCUAUGGCGAAGGCAGCUCUCUGGGACGGUACUGACGCUGAGACGCGAAAGCGUGGGGAGCGAACAGG